rnacentral:rRNA from 1 species
UACGGAGGGAGCUAGCGUUGUUCGGAUAUACUGGGCGUAAAGCGCACGUAAGCGGCGCAGCAAGUCAGGGGUGAAAUCCCGGAGCUCAACUCCGGAACUGCCUUUGAAACUGCAGUGCUAGAAUCCUGGAGAGGCGAGUGGAAUUCCGAGUGUAGAGGUGAAAUUCGUAGAUAUUCGGAAGAACACCAGUGGCGAAGGCGACUCGCUGGACAGGUAUUGACGCUGAGGUGCGAAAGCGUGGGGAGCAAACAGG